UUAAACGCCACUCAGAUGCUGUCUUCACUGACAACUACACACGCCUUCGAAAACAAAUGGCUGUGAAGAAAUACCUGAACUCAAUUCUAAAUGGAAAGCGAAGCAGUGAAGGAGAGUCUCCUGACUUUCUUGAAGAGUUGGAAAAAUGAUGAGAAAGCUCUUUGGAGCAAAGCUGCUGACAACUUCCCAGUGAAUUCUUGAAGAAAAACAAUAAGUGAAGUAAUUUUAUUUUGAGUUCUACAUAAGUAAUUCAAGAAAACUACUUCAAUAUCAAAACCAAAUAAAAUACAUUGUGUUGUGAAUGUUGUGAUUUAUUUUACUCUGAUGUAAUAACUGUGAUGUUUACAUUGUAAAUAUUAUUUGUGAGUUCUGAAAUUUGUCUUUAACUCAUGAGAAUUCUGUGAUUUCAUGUGCUGUGCAUCCUUUCUAAUAAAAAUAUAUUUAAUGAUAAGUAAAUACUAGGUUAAUUCCAAUUAUAUGAGGCUUUUUGGAAGGAUAGUAAUCGAGCAAAAUUGAUGUGUUUAUUUAUAGGACAUACUUAACUAUGCAGAAGAGUGGAGGAGAUAAUAAGCACAUCUAAAUUUGAACGUUGAGCAGAUAGAAUGCUGUGUUAAAUAAGUUUCAGAGUGUCUAAGAGAAUACCAAAAGCAAAGAUAAAAAAAAUUCUUUAAAAAAAAGAUUUUCAGAAAAUGUGUGUUUCUGUAUUCUUAGGCAGCAUUUAUUUUGAAUGAGAUUUUUAAAUCUUUCAAAUUUGAAUCUCUAAUUGCCAAAUACUCUUCUGAUCGAAUGUUUCAGUUAAGGAGAAUGGCCUCUAUUUCUGACACUGAACUUUUCCUUUAUGCUUGUGUUAAGUAUGUGUAACGUGUAAACUGAACAGAACACUUGUUUUUCAGUGAUAAAUAUUUUUUCCAUUGUCUCUCAGAUAAUGCUUAGGUCAUAUCAGCUUUCUUCAGUGAAAGUACGUUUGGAGAAACAACUAUUUUUCCAAAAUGAUUGUAAGAAAUUAAAUAUAGAAAAUAAAGACCUUUGAUUAUCAUUGCAGGCA